AACGAACGCUGGCGGCAUGCCUAACACAUGCAAGUCGAACGAGACCUUCGGGUCUAGUGGCGCACGGGUGCGUAACGCGUGGGAAUCUGCCCUUCGGUUCGGAAUAACAGUUAGAAAUGACUGCUAAUACCGGAUAAUGACGUAAGUCUAAAGAUUUAUCGCCGAGGGAUGAGCCCGCGUAGGAUUAGCUUGUUGGUGGGGUAAUGGCCCACCAAGGCGACGAUCCUUAGCUGGCUGAGAGGAUGAUCAGCCACACUGGGACUGAGACACGGCCCAGACUCCUACGGGAGGCAGCAGUGGGGAAUAUUGGACAAUGGGCGAAAGCCUGAUCCAGCAAUGCCGCGUGAGUGAUGAAGCCUUAGGGUUGUAAAGCUCUUUACCAGGGAUGAUAAUGACAGUACCUGGAGAAUAAGAC
rnacentral:rRNA from 1 species